rnacentral:lncRNA from 1 species
GUUAGGAUCUUUAAAACUUCGAACAUCUUAACUCUCAUAACACAAGGUGGAGGGCUACAAGAAAGCUGCUCUUUGGGUUAGUUUGUAGCUGUGGUGAAAUGAUGGAAUACUGGCUUUUUGGGAUUCCUUUUGACUGAAGUGAACAUUUCCAGUAUAAAAUUUUGCACAUCGUGAAUGGAAUGUGGGUCACCUUUGAAAUUUGGAAAAUACUUACACAGAACUUGUAACUCACCUGUCUUCCAAUAAAACUUGAUCAAACUCCGAUGAAGAGACUAGAAAAAGUAUUGAAGUGACACACUGAAAACAUUGAUACCACUUCUGCCGCUGAGA